rnacentral:lncRNA from 1 species
CCAUUUGACCCGAAAUAAUGAAACCUUCAUAAGCUAAUUGGUAGCUUAAGGUGACUACAAUCAAAGAUAAUGGUUGACUUUGAAGAAACCAUCUUUGACGUAGUCUUAGUUUCAAUUAAUUCGAAGAUUGCUAGCUACAACUAAAUGGUGAUUCAAUGUUUGGACAUUAUAUGGGUUUUCGAAACCAUUAUUAAGAUAGUCUUGAUAAUAUAUAUGUCUAAAACUAUGAAUCACAAGACAUAUAAGUUGUAGAGAUCCAUCCAUCAUGAAUCUUAGCAAGCUAGUGGGAGCUAUAUGCAUCUUAUGAGAGAAAGUUCAAAUUGUUUAAUUUCUCAUAAAGAUGUAAAUGAACCUUUUGUUUACUAGGUUUACAAAAGAUUAGUGGGAGUUAAUCAUGUUCCUAAAAUUUAAAUAUAUAUGAUAUAUUAAUUUUGGAAAUGAAAAGAAUACUUCUUCGUUAAAGUUAUGACUUUAAAACAUUAUAUGAAGAUAGAAUGUAUAUGAGAGUUAAUCAUGUUCCUAAAAUUCAAAUAUAUAUGAUAUAUUAAUUUUGGAAAUGAAAAGAAUACUUCUUCGUUAAAGUUAUGACUUUAAAACAUUAUAUGAAGAUAGAAUGUAUAUGGGAGACAUAGUCUAUAUACAUGGGAUGUAAAUCUAUAAUGAUAGAUUUUAGGAUAUAAUUGGAUUAUAUCAAUCCCUAAUAAUAGACAAGAGAUGCUAGGAAGUUUCUCAUAUAAUGAUAAACUUCAAUUAGAAGGACGAUUCUAGUGAGACUAGCAAGUUGCCCUUCUCAAAGGGAACGUACCCUUUGACUCCCAAAGAAAUAAUGCGUAAAUAGAAUCCUUUAUGCGUAAGCAGAAAGGUGAUUUAUGUAUUUCAUAUUGUAUGAAAAAUAUUGAUAUGAGUUGUACCUAGAACGGUACAAGACGAUAUCAGUGAAAGCCCAGGAUCAGAACCAUGGCAACUGUCAAGUGAAUCCUUAAGUAUUUAAGAAAUACUAAAGGAUGGAUUCCUCAAAGAAAUGAGGAAGAAUUAGAGUAACGUAAUGGAAGCGUAAAUGUAUUAGAUUGUGAAUCUAAUCCAUCAUUGGAUGUUUCUUCAUUAUGAAUGAAGAGAUAAACAGAUAUCUCUUUAUUAUGACUAAAGAGAUAUUUGGAUGGAAACAUUAAACUAAUGACUUUAGUGUGUUCCAUUAUGAAUGCAAAAUAUAUUUCCAUAUAGAAGCUUACAACAAUGUUGUUUGGAUAGGAAAGUUCAUUUAUGAACUCCCUAUUCGGUUCCAACCAGAAAGUGUAUCUAGUGUACUGACACUAUGACACUAAUGGGGCGAUAGCUCAAGCCAGGGAAUCAAGGUCUCAUUAAGAUCUGAACUCAUAUGAGAGACUGAACCACAUGAUUGAGAAUCAUGUAUAAUGGUGACGUCGUUAUUCUCAAGGUUGCUUCUAUGGAUAAGAUAUAGAUAUCCAUUGCCUAGGUCUACUACUCAGCCAUUUUUGAAAUGACUACAGAAGAGGUAUCAUCACUGAUAACCAAGCUGAUUGGCUCUAGUGCAAGUGGGAGAUUGUUGGAAAUGUGCCCUAAAACCAAUCAUAUGAUGAUACUUUACGGACAUUUCACAUGUUAAACUAAUCUAGUUUAAUAUCAAGGGCAAAGAUUAUUGUUUAAGCCGUCUCAUAUAAAUGUUAUAUGCUUAAACGAUAAGUCCAAGGAAUAUGUAAUCAGGAGAAUAUGAUUUAAACAAGUUAGAUUAAUGAGACCAUUCUCUUUCGUAUACAUAUCUUAAACGUUCCUGAUCAUAGGAUUGCUAAUUGGGCAUUGACAGUCCGUUAAGAUCAGUACGUGUUGUGUCUUCUCUCAGGGAGAGUGACUAGUCUCGAGUAAUUGGUGUGUGUGACAUCAAGAUAAGCAUGUAGGUGCUCAAUAGCGAAUGAGUCCACUGAACACGAUCAACGAAGAGUUUUCAUACUCAUGUCACAUGAGAACUCAUGGUUGGGAUAAUGCAAAGUAGUCAUUUGACCUAAGGCAUCAUAGUUGUCUUGUGCUUAAGUCCUUGAUCUUUGAUUGUGUCAAAGUCACUCCAUUCGAGGGUGUCCACGACAUCGUUGGGGUUAAGCCACUUAGCCAUGGAGGCAAGUGAAUGCGCAACAAGGGAUCUCUAACCUUCAAACC